rnacentral:rRNA from 1 species
UGAACGCUGGCGGCGUGCCUAAUACAUGCAAGUCGAGCGAACGGACGAGAAGCUUGCUUCUCUGUUGUUAGCGGCGGACGGGUGAGUAACACGUGGAUAACCUACCUAUAAGACUGGGAUAACUUCGGGAAACCGGAGCUAAUACCGGAUGAUAUUUUGAACCGCAUGGUUCAAAAGUGAAAGACGGUCUUGCUGUCACUUAUAGAUGGAUCCGCGCUGCAUUAGCUAGUUGGUAAGGUAACGGCUUACCAAGGCAACGAUGCAUAGCCGACCUGAGAGGGUGAUCGGCCACACUGGAACUGAGACACGGUCCAGACUCCUACGGGAGGCGGCAGUAGGGAAUCUUCCGCAAUGGGCGAAAGCCUGACGGAGCAACGCCGCGUGAGUGAUGAAGGUCUUCGGAUCGUAAAACUCUGUUACUAGGGAAGAACAUAUGUGUAAGUAACUGUGCACAUCUUGACGGUACCUAAUCAGAAAGCCACGGCUAACUACGUG